rnacentral:tRNA from 2 species
GGACAGAUGCCGGAGUGGUCGAACGGGGCGGUCUCGAAAACCGUUGUGCCAGUAAUGGUACCCAGGGUUCGAAUCCCUGUCUGUCCGCCA